rnacentral:lncRNA from 1 species
UAUCACCCCCUCUGGUCAAAAUAGUCAGCAGUCUUGAACAGCAUCUCAUGAACAUGAUUACUUACGCCAAUAAGCAAGCCGACCCAUUUUCAAUCGGCUCAGCUGGUGAUGUAAAGCCAGAUCUCGUUCCAGCUAUAUUCUUAACUUUCAAUUCCUUGAAUAAUAUCAACAUGUUGAGGAUUUUCAUCUUUGAAUUUAUGAGUAGUAAUAAUCUCAGCUGUUGGGUUUUAAAAGGAUGUUUAUUCUGAUUUCCCAUUCUCCUUU